GCUGCGUGGCGCGUGCGCAGGCGCGUGCGCGCCGCGGUGCCGUAGCGGCGGCUGCUGGCGAGGGUCGCGCGCCGCGUCUCCUUUUCGCUCCCUGUGGCGUGACGCCCCCUCAGCCUCGUUCGGGAUCCGUUUCCCUUGCCGGAGCCCGGCGGCGGCGAGCACUCCAGUACGAAAGCGUUCUUUCUUCUGCUGGCUCCGUUAGCCCUGCAGAUGGUGAGCGACUCCCAGCCUGCCCUCACUGAACACCGAAGGAUCGUUGUGGUCUGAGAAGCGAUCCUUUCAUUUUUACCUCCCCCAGUGUUUUUUAUAUUAAUCUUUACCAACUUUUUAAGCUCUCGUUUUUCGUCUUUAUUCUCGAAUGCAAACUGAAUCUCACGAACUUUGAAUAAAGGAUUGCUUGGUUGAUGGAAUCGUUGGAUAAAUUCUGUAAAUUAAGUUAAAUCACCUGAGUGCUUAAAAACUUAAAAGGAAUCCUAUCUGUUGGAUAUUAUGAACCUGAAUUUAUACCUGAAAAGUCAUGCUACUUGACUGUACCAUGGA
rnacentral:lncRNA from 1 species